GCCCCCGCGGCCUAGUGGGUAGCGCUGUUGUUUUGAAAAUUUUGGUCGCGGGUUCGAACCCCACCAGGGUCA